rnacentral:rRNA from 1 species
AUUGAACGCUGGCGGCAGGCCUAACACAUGCAAGUCGAGCGGAUGAUGGGAGCUUGCUCCUUGAUUCAGCGGCGGACGGGUGAGUAAUGCCUAGGAAUCUGCCUGGUAGUGGGGGACAACGUUUCGAAAGGAACGCUAAUACCGCAUACGUCCUACGGGAGAAAGCAGGGGACCUUCGGGCCUUGCGCUAUCAGAUGAGCCUAGGUCGGAUUAGCUUGUUGGUGAGGUAGUGGCUCACCAAGGCGACGAUCCGUAACUGGUCUGAGAGGAUGAUCAGGCACACUGGAACUAAGACACGGUCCGGACUCCUACGGGAGGCAGCAGUGGGGAAUAUUGGACAAUGGGCGAAAGCCUGAUCCAGCCAUGCCGCGUGUGUGAAGAAGGUCUUCGGAUUGUAAAGCACUUUAAGUUGGGAGGAAGGGUUGUAGAUUAAUACUCUGCAAUUUUGACGUUACCGACAGAAUAAGCACCGGCUAACUCUGUGCCAGCAGCCGCGGUAAUAC